GCCCCCGUAGCUCAAACGGAUAGAGCGCCCACCCGCUAAGUAGGAGGCUCCCAGUUCGAGCCUGGGCGGGGGCACCA
rnacentral:tRNA from 1 species